rnacentral:rRNA from 1 species
AGUGAACGCUGGCGGUAGGCCUAACACAUGCAAGUCGAACGGCAGCACAGUAAGAGCUUGCUCUUACGGGUGGCGAGUGGCGGACGGGUGAGGAAUACAUCGGAAUCUACUUUUUCGUGGGGGAUAACGUAGGGAAACUUACGCUAAUACCGCAUACGACCUACGGGUGAAAGCAGGGGAUCUUCGGACCUUGCGCGAUUGAAUGAGCCGAUGUCGGAUUAGCUAGUUGGCGGGGUAAAGGCCCACCAAGGCGACGAUCCGUAGCUGGUCUGAGAGGAUGAUCAGCCACACUGGAACUGAGACACGGUACAGACUCCUACGGGAGGCAGCAGUGGGGAAUAUUGGACAAUGGGCGCAAGCCUGAUCCAGCCAUGCAGGGUGGGUGAAGAAGGCCUGCGGGUUGGAAAGCCCUUUUGUUGGGAAAGAAAAGCAGCAGGUUAAUACCCCGCUGUUCUGACGGUACCCAAAGAAUAAGCACCGGCUAACUUCGU